UCCCUCUGGAAAGUUUAUUUUCUCGAAAAAAAAAAAACGAAUAUUGCAACUGUGUGCUUGUGAAAGAGUGUCCCACAGCUUUUUAUAUACUAUCUAAAGAGAGACGAAAACCAACAUUUUUUCCUUGGACCCCCCCACCCCCCCGACCCCCCUUUUGGGGGGGCAGAGGGGGGCACCAACCCCCGGGGAAAUCCCCACCCCCCAAAGGGGGAAAAUAAAAGGGGGGCCAGGUAAAAAAAGCGGGAGGGGGAGUUUUUGGUUAAAAAUUUAUAUAAAAAAAAUUUUAUGAAAAAUUUUUUAAAAAAUUACCAAAAUUCCUAAUACCUAUUUUUUUUUUUAGGUAAAAGAAAUUUUACCUUUAGAAAAAUUAGAGGUGUUAAAGCCAAGGCAUAUGCCCUUGAAAAAUCCCAGCCAGGAAAAAAUAUUAAAGAUUUUUUAUCUUUUUAUUGGGUUCUAAAGAUAAAGAAAUAAUGAUUAAUAGGGGACAGUUGGGGGCAUUUGUAUUUAACAGUCAGAGGUGAAAUUCUUAGAUUUGUUAAAGACAAACUAAUGCGAAAGCAUUUGCCAAGGAUGUUUUCAUUAAUCAAGAACGAAAGUUAGGGGAUCGAAGACGAUCAGAUACCGUCGUAGUCUAACCAUAAACUAUGCCAAUGUAGAGAUGAGCGUG
rnacentral:rRNA from 1 species